UCGUAGUUGUGGGUUGUGACUAACUGUAACCCUAUACAUCAUCAAUGGCAUCAAUGCCCCCGCCGCCUAACACUCACUAUAUAUUCCACCCCUUCAUCGAAAACUAUUGUUUCUUCACUUUCACUUUGUUUGAGUUGUUCUUUUUUCUCAAUCGUCGGGAUAGGCGGUUUGAAUCCAGUGUUUGAUGGUUAAUUCUUACAGCAGCUCCAAAAGGAGAUAUUGAAGCUCAAAAAUCGUUUCGUAUGUGUGUUGAUGAUAUUUACUGCUUUGUGUGCUGCGUUUCGGAAUAAGUUUGAGUUUGUGGUUUAUUUGAUUUAAGAUCCAGUUUUAAUAAUGAGUGAGGGAGUAAUUUGCUCAUCAAUUUGCAAAUGUGUUGCUUUGAAUUUUAGGGCUGUUUUGAGUUUAGCAAUUAAAUUAGGUAAUCUACUAUGAUGGAACAUCGGGUCCUUGAGAAAAUCCCAAAAAGAGUGUAGAUUUUCUUGCUCUGCAGUAUGUUAAUUUAUUUAGUUGUAUAUUAGAGUUAUUUUAACUAAUAAUUAGUCGUGUUUUUGUUGUUA